rnacentral:rRNA from 1 species
GAUGAACGCUGGCGGCGUGCCUAAUACAUGCAAGUCGAACGCAUUGUGGUUGAAAUGAUAUGAAGAACUUGUUCAGAUUUGAUUUUCAACAUUGCAAUGAGUGGCGAACGGGUGAGUAACACGUGGGAAACCUACCUCUUAGCAGGGGAUAACAUUUGGAAACAAAUGCUAAUACCGUAUAAUAAUUAAAACCGCAUGGUUUUAGUUUAAAAGAUGGUCUUGCUAUCACUAAGAGAUGGUCCCGCGGUGUAUUAGUUAGUUGGUGAGGUAAUGGCUCACCAAGACAAUGAUACAUAGCCGAGUUGAGAGACUGACCGGCCACAAUGGGACUGAGACACGGCCCAUACUCCUACGGGAGGCAGCAGUA